rnacentral:rRNA from 1 species
UCCAACCCCUGUGACAUACCUAUCGUUGCUUCGGCGGGAUGCCCCAGUUUUGACUUAAAACUGGACCCAGGCGCCCGCCGGAGGACCCAAACUCUUGUUUUUAUAUGUAUCUUCUGAGUAAACAAGCAAAUAAAUUAAAACUUUCAACAACGGAUCUCUUGGUUCUGGCAUCGAUGAAGAACGCAGCGAAAUGCGAUAAGUAAUGUGAAUUGCAGAAUUCCGUGAAUCAUCGAAUCUUUGAACGCACAUUGCGCCCGCCAGUAUUCUGGCGGGCAUGCCUGUUCGAGCGUCAUUUCAACCCUCAAGCCCCCGGGCUUGGUGUUGGGGCUCGGCCCGUCCCUAGCGGAUGCGCCGUCCCCGAAAUCUAGUGGCGGUCUCGCUGUAGCCUCCUCUGCGUAGUAGCUAACACCUCGCAAUGGGAACGCAGCGCGGCCACGCCGUUAAACCCCCCACUUCUGAAGGUUGACCUCGGAUCAGGUAGGAAUACCCGCUGAACUUAAGCAUAUCAAUAAGCGGAGGA